rnacentral:rRNA from 1 species
GACGAACGCUGGCGGCGUGCUUAACACAUGCAAGUCGAACGGAAAGGCCCUGCUUUUGUGGGGUGCUCGAGUGGCGAACGGGUGAGUAACACGUGAGUAACCUGCCCUUGACUUUGGGAUAACUUCAGGAAACUGGGGCUAAUACCGGAUAGGAGCUCCUGCUGCAUGGUGGGGGUUGGAAAGUUUCGGCGGUUGGGGAUGGACUCGCGGCUUAUCAGCUUGUUGGUGGGGUAGUGGCGUACCAAGGCUUUGAAGGGUAGCCGGCCUGAGAGGGUGACCGGCCACAUUGGGACUGAGGUACGGCCCAGACUCCUACGGGAGGCAGCAGUGGGGAAUAUUGCACAAUGGGCGGAAGCCUGAUGCAGCAACGCCGCGUGCGGGAUGACGGCCUUCGGGUUGUAAACCGCUUUCGCCUGUGACGAAGCGUGAGUGACGGUAAUGGGUAAAGAAGCACCGGCUAACUACGUG